rnacentral:rRNA from 1 species
GAUGAACGCUGGCGGCGUGCCUAAUACAUGCAAGUCGAGCGAACAGACGAGGAGCUUGCUCCUCUGACGUUAGCGGCGGACGGGUGAGUAACACGUGGAUAACCUACCUAUAAGACUGGGAUAACUUCGGGAGACCGGAGCUAAUACCGGAUAAUAUAUUGAACCGCAUGGUUCAAUAGUGAAAGACGGUUUUGCUGUCACUUAUAGAUGGAUCCGCGCCGCAUUAGCUAGUUGGUAAGGUAACGGCUUACCAAGGCAACGAUGCGUAGCCGACCUGAGAGGGUGAUCGGCCACACUGGAACUGAGACACGGUCCAGACUCCUACGGGAGGCAGCAGUAGGGAAUCUUCCGCAAUGGGCGAAAGCCUGGCGGAGCAACGCCGCGUGAGUGAUGAAGGUCUUCGGAUCGUAAAACUCUGUUAUUAGGGAAGAACAAAUGUGUAAGUAACUAUGCACGUCUUGACGGUACCUAAUCAGAAAGCCACGGCUAACUACGUG